GUAGAUUGGACAGUUGAUGACAGCAGUGAUGGAGACAUUUCAGCAGAUGAAGAGCUGCAGUUUGAGGCUGAAGAGGGAAUCGUGCCAGCAACAGGAGAGAUCAAGAAGAAGUUAGAGCUGCCCUGUGCCCACCCUUCCAAAAGACGAAGAACCUGAAAUGGAGGAAAAAGAGGAGCACUGCUGCUGUUCCAG